rnacentral:rRNA from 1 species
AGUUAGAACGCUCGUAGUCGGAUUUCGGGGCGGGCCGACCGGUCUGCCGAUGGGUACGCACUGGUCGGCGCGUCCUUCCUUCCGGAGACCGUGCCUACUCUUAACUGAGCGGGGGCGGGAGACGGAUCGUUUACUUUGAAAAAAUCAGAGUGUUUCAAGCAGGCAGCUCGCUCUUGCAUGGAUUAGCAUGGGAUAAUGAAAUAGGACUUUGGUGCUAUUUUGUUGGUUUCGAACACCGAAGUAAUGAUUAACAGGGACAGUCAGGGGCACUCGUAUUCCGCCGAGAGAGGUGAAAUUCUCAGACCAGCGGAAGACGAACUACUGCGAAAGCAUUUGCCAGGGAUGUUUUCACUGAUCAAGAACGAAAGUUAGGGGAUCGAAGACGAUCAGAUACCGUCGUAGUCUUAACCAUAAACCAUGCCGACUAGGGAUUGGAGGAUGUUCACUGAUUGACUCCUUCAGCACCUUACGGGAAACUAAAGUCUUUGGGUUCCGGGGGGAGUAUGGUCGCAAGGCUGAAACUUAAAGGAAUUGACGGAAGGGCACCACCAGGUGUGGAGCCUGCGGCUUAAUUUGACUCAACACGGGGAAACUUACCAGGUCCAGACAUUGUGAGGAUUGACAGAUUGAGAGCUCUUUCUUGAUUCGAUGGGUGGUGGUGCAUGGCCGUUCUUAGUUGGUGGAGUGAUUUGUCUGGUUAAUUCCGUUAACGAACGAGACCUUAGCCUGCUAAAUAGUGACGCGAACACUUCGUUCGCGGGCCACUUCUUAGAGGGACAACUUGUCUUCAACAAGUGGAAGUUUGA